rnacentral:rRNA from 1 species
AUACGGAGGAUCCGAGCGUUAUCCGGAUUUAUUGGGUUUAAAGGGUGCGCAGGCGGGAGAUUAAGUCGGCGGUGAAAUUUUGCAGCUCAACUGUAAAAGUGCCUUCGAAACUGGGUUCCUUGAGUGUAGAUGAAGUAGGCGGAAUUUGUGGUGUAGCGGUGAAAUGCAUAGAUAUCACGAGGAACUCCGAUUGCGCAGGCAGCUUACUAAACUGCUACUGACGCUCAGGCACGAAGGCGUGGGGAUCAAACAGGAUUAGAUACCCUGGUAGUCCACGCAGUAAACGAUGAUUACUAGCUGUUUGCGAUACAAUGUAAGCGGCUGAGCGAAAGCGUUAAGUAAUCCACCUGGGGAGUACGUUCGCGAGAAUGAAACUUAAAGGAAUUGACGGG